rnacentral:snRNA from 1 species
AGCUUUCCACAGAGGCAGUAUUGUAGAGACAACGAGGUGUAUCUGAGGCGCGAUUAUUGCUAAUUGAAAACAUUCUUCCAAACUUGUUAAUUUUGUACAGUAUGAAGUAAAAACUAGGUUUCACUGCUUAGGAAUGAAUUGUUUGUCUGUCUGACUUCAGU